GUCUCAAGAUGGAGCAGCUUGCCUCUUCAUGGCGUGAUUAGGAUUCCAUCCAAUUAAUAGCAUUGCAAAAUACAUAGCUCCUGUUGCAAAGACGAAAUGAAAGAAUCCAUAACCAUAUGGAACAUCAUCUUCUUCAGUUGCUUGAUAUGACCCCAAAGAGCUCAAGACCUUUCACUCGUAGGCAAGCAAGGGUGCUUCAAGUACUACAAGCCAUGUUCAUGAAGAGAGGAGCGUUGGAAGAGCUUGAAGAGAAGAUCUCCAAAGUGUGCAAUGGUUGGAUGAUAGCUUGGGAGGGUGUUGAAGAGGAAGACACAAGAAAAGAGGCCACUACACAAAGUGGCUAACAUUGCAAAUGUCGUGUGAAGGCUCAAUGUUGGGUUAUUUCCGCAAAGGCCACUUUUGGGCUUUUGUUGUAAUAGGGAUUAGUAUAAAUAGACCCCUUAAGUCUUUCAUUUGCUCUUUAGCUUGACUAUUGAUCAAAACUAUAUGUUUUGAGAGUUUGUUUAGUUAGAUAUUAAUCAUAGUUGGUUUGGUUGACUAA